rfam:Fukomys damarensis contig86951, whole genome shotgun sequence.
CUGUGCUCACUCUAGCAACAAAUAUAUUAAAAUUGGAAUGAUACAGAAAAGAUUAUUAUGGCACCUACACAAAGAUGACAUGAAAAUUCAUAUUUUUUU